rnacentral:tRNA from 1 species
GCCCUGGUGGCACAGUGGUUAAAUGCCUGUACUGUAGCCACUCACUCAUAAAAACCACAAGGUUGUGAGUUCAAUACCAGCCAGGGCU